AUUGAACGCUGGCGGCAGGCCUAACACAUGCAAGUCGAGCGAGUGGCGGACGGGUGAGUAAUGUAUGGGGAUCUGCCCGAUAGAGGGGGAUAACUACUGGAAACGGUGGCUAAUACCGCAUACUAUCAGAUGAACCCAUAUGGGAUUAGCUAGUUGGUGGGGUAAAGGCUCACCUAGGCGACGAUCUCUAGCUGGUCUGAGAGGAUGACCAGCCACACUGGAACUGAGAAACGGCCCAGACUCCUACGGGAGGCAGCAGUGGGGAAUAUUGCACAAGGGGCGAAAGCCUGAUGCAGCCAUGCCGCGUGUAUGAAGAAGGCCUUAGGGUUGUAAAGUACUUUCAGCGGGGAGGCGUUACCCGAAGAAGAAGCACCGGCUAACUCCGUGCCAGCAGCCGCGGUAAUAC
rnacentral:rRNA from 1 species